rnacentral:misc_RNA from 1 species
GAGGAGCUCCUGAAAGAAACUGCAAACAUUCCAAAGCCUAUUCUGAUGUGUAUUCUGAACAUUAUAAGGGUCAUCGAUGUUGUUUACAAGGAUGAAGAUAGUUACACUAACUCCAAAACCUCACUCAAGGAUAUCCUGGUUGCUUUCCUUGUCAAUCCUACAGUUGUUUAAGCUUGAAGUUUCUACAUAUUUAUGAAACAAAUCAAUUGGCGUGAAUUUUAGUUCAAGCUCUAGGAAUUAAGAUUUGGAUAUGGAGUAGAACUAGUUUGCUGCCUUGUUAGUGAUGCUCAAGAUCCUCUCAUAGUUAUGUAGGUAUUCUGCUUCUAUUUGUUAUUGUGUGAUGCAAUGUCUUAAAAUAUCAAAUAAUUGGCUUGGAGAUCAUUUUCUAUGGAGCAUGUUGUCUCAAAAAGUAUGUCCAAGAGGGAGAUGAGCUGGACAAUUAUAAUUUUUUCUGCUCUUGCU